rnacentral:rRNA from 1 species
UACGGAGGGGGCUAGCGUUGUUCGGAUUUACUGGGCGUAAAGCGCACGUAGGCGGAUUGUUAAGUCAGGGGUGAAAUCCUGGAGCUCAACUCCAGAACUGCCUUUGAUACUGGCAAUCUUGAGUCCGGAAGAGGUGAGUGGAACUCCUAGUGUAGAGGUGGAAUUCGUAGAUAUUAGGAAGAACACCAGUGGCGAAGGCGGCUCACUGGUCCGGUACUGACGCUGAGGUGCGAAAGCGUGGGGAGCAAACAGG